UGGCGAACGGGUGGGUAACGCGUGAGGAACCUGCCUCAAAGAGGGGGACAACAGUUGGAAACGACUGCUAAUACCGCAUAAGCCCACGGGUCGGCAUCGAUCUGAGGGAAAAGGAGUGAUCCGCUUUGAGAUGGCCUCGCGUCCGAUUAGCUAGUUGGUGAGGUAACGGCCCACCAAGGCGACGAUCGGUAGCCGGACUGAGAGGUUGAACGGCCACAUUGGGACUGAGACACGGCCCAG
rnacentral:rRNA from 1 species